rnacentral:rRNA from 1 species
AGAGUUUGAUCCUGGCUCAGGAUGAACGUCGGCGGCGUGCUUAACACAUGCAAGUCGAGCGGAAGCAUUUAGAAGCUUGCUUUUAAAUACUUUAGCGGCGGACGGGUGAGUAACGUGUGGGCAACCUGCCUCAUACAGAGGAAUAAUCAUGUGAAAACGUGACUAAUACCUCAUGUCAAUUUCUGAAGGCAUCUUCGGGAAAGAAAAGGAGCAAUCCGGUAUGAGAUGGGCCCGCAUCUGAUUAGCUAGUUGGUGAGAUAACAGCCCACCAAGGCAACGAUCAGUAGCCGACCUGAGAGGGUGAUCGGCCACAUUGGGACUGAGACACGGCCCAAACUCCUACGGGAGGCAGCAGUGGGGAAUAUUGCACAAUGGGCGAAAGCCUGAUGCAGCAACGCCGCGUGAAGGAUGAAGGGUUUCGGCUCGUAAACUUCUAUCAACAGGGACGAAAAAAAUGACGGUACCUGAAUAAGAAGCCCCGGCUAACUACGUGCCAGCAGCCGCGGUAAUACGUAGGGGGCAAGCGUUAUCCGGAAUUACUGGGUGUAAAGGGAGAGUAGGCGGCAUGGUAAGUUAGAUGUGAAAGCCCGAGGCUUAACCUCGGGAUUGCAUUUAAAACUAUCAAGCUAGAGUACAGGAGAGGUAAGUGGAAUUCCUAGUGUAGCGGUGAAAUGCGUAGAUAUUAGGAAGAACACCAGUGGCGAAGGCGACUUACUGGACUGAAACUGACGCUGAGGCUCGAAAGCGUGGGGAGCGAACAGGAUUAGAUACCCUGGUAGUCCACGCCGUAAACGAUGAGUGCUAGGUGUCGGGGGGGAACCCUCGGUGCCGCAGCUAACGCAAUAAGCACUCCACCUGGGGAGUACGAUCGCAAGAUUGUAACUAAAGGAAUUGACGG